rnacentral:rRNA from 1 species
AUUGAACGCUGGCGGAAUGCUUUACACAUGCAAGUCGAGCGGCAGCGCGGCCUUCGGGCUGGCGGCGAGCGGCGAACGGGUGAGUAAUGCAUCGGAACAUGCCCAGUCGUGGGGGAUAACACUUCGAAAGAAGUGCUAAUACCGCAUACGUCCUGAGGGGGAAAGCGGGGGAUCGCAAGACCUCGCGCGAUUGGAGUGGCCGAUGUCAGAUUAGCUAGUUGGUGGGGUAAAGGCCUACCAAGGCGACGAUCUGUAGCUGGUCUGAGAGGAUGAUCAGCCACACUGGGACUGAGACACGGCCCAGACUCCUACGGGAGGCAGCAGUGGGGAAUUUUGGGCAAUGGGGGCAACCCUGAUCCAGCCAUUCCGCGUGAGUGAAGAAGGCCUUCGGGUUGUAAAGCUCUUUCGGCAGGAACGAAACGGUGGGCUCUAACAUAGUCCGCUAAUGACGGUACCUGAAGAAGAAGCACCGGCUAACUACGUG